CCUACGGGAGGCAGCAGUGGGGAAUAUUGCGCAAUGGGCGAAAGCCUGACGCAGCGACGCCGCGUGAAGGAAGAAGGCUUUCGGGUUGUAAACUUCUUUUAAGGGGGAAGAGCAGAAGACGGUACCCCUUGAAUAAGCCACGGCUAACUACGUGCCAGCAGCCGCGGUAAUACGUAGGUGGCAAGCGUUGUCCGGAUUUACUGGGUGUAAAGGGCGUGCAGCCGGAGAGACAAGUCAGAUGUGAAAUCCACGGGCUCAACCCGUGAACUGCAUUUGAAACUGUUUCCCUUGAGUGUCGGAGAGGUAAUCGGAAUUCCUUGUGUAGCGGUGAAAUGCGUAGAUAUAAGGAAGAACACCAGUGGCGAAGGCGGAUUACUGGACGAUAACUGACGGUGAGGCGCGAAAGCGUGGGGAGCAAACAGGAUUAGAUACCCCAGUAGUC
rnacentral:rRNA from 1 species